ACACCAUGACCUGUGUGGAGGUGGCCAUGGUCGGGUGAACCAAUGAACCAAGACUCCUGAGUGUGUUAAGUCCAAAGAGCAGGACUCCGUGAAGGAAAGAGGGAAGAGCUGCAGCGGGGAGGCUGAACAGGAUUUUAACAACGGCUUGAAGAAACAAACUUACCAUGAAAAUGCAGGGCAGUCCAGCCUUGUGCAGACAAAGGAGAAAUGAGCCUCACUCGGGCAAACAGUGCUGGCGACCUCCUCUCCCUCCCUCCACCAAGGAAAACAAAAGAAGGGCAAGGCCCAGAGUGGACAGAGGCUUCUUCCCUGGGUCAGAGAAACACGAGGUCUC
rnacentral:lncRNA from 1 species